ensembl:processed_transcript Gm20416 predicted gene 20416
GAUUUUACUGGAAUUCUCAGAAUGUUCAGAAGACUCCGAACUCCUCACAGGAGAAUUGGAUAAUGGCAAUUAACAUGGCAAUGGCUUCCCCUGGUGUUCUCUGUCUGCUCCCGCUCUGCUGGUGGGCCAGGGUGGUACUCACCUGAGGCAGAAUUCAUCAGUGUCUGGGGCACCGCUGGGCUGGCAGGUGCAGGAACGUUCAGUUGCGAAAGCAUGGCCUUCCGGGGGUCCUGCCAUGUUGUUGUCUGAUCGUUGUGACUGAGACAAAGCAGAGUAAAAGUCAAACCGUCAUCCCUAAGAAGUCUCAUAUAGAGAAUCAGAGCUCACUCUGCCUUCCCACCCUGGACAAGUCACUGAAUUACCGAAAAUGACAGAGUCAGCAUAGCAUGGGCUGAGAACAAAAGCCAGAAUUCAAGAUUCAUGAGUCCCCAAAUAAAGUCUCCAAUGACCUUC